UACGUAGGGUGCGAGCGUUGUCCGGAAUUAUUGGGCGUAAAGGGCUCGUAGGCGGUUUGUUGCGUCGGGAGUGAAAUCAUCUGGCUUAACUGGGUGCUUGCUUUCGAUACGGGCAGACUAGAGGUAUGCAGGGGAGAACGGAAUUCCUGGUGUAGCGGUGAAAUGCGCAGAUAUCAGGAGGAACACCGGUGGCGAAGGCGGUUCUCUGGGCCGUAACUGACGCUGAGGAGCGAAAGCCAGGGGAGCGAACGGG
rnacentral:rRNA from 1 species